GGUGUUAUGGCUGAGCGGUGAAGCUCUUGGCUUCCGAACUGGGGGUCCCGGGUUAAAAUCCUGGUAAUGACU
rnacentral:tRNA from 1 species